CGAAGUCACAACCCUACUAGCUGUAGAUGCUGUAUUACUAUUUGUAGAAGAAAGAAACCAGUUGCAAUUUGCAAGGUGCAGGAUGGAAAAGCUUUGUGAGAUGUUUCCUUCUGUGCUUCAUUUAAAAAGGUGGAAAACAGCCACCAUUGAAGCAGCUCAGAUUUGUGUCCUGCAUGCCGAUCAUGGAAUCAUAGGAAUGUCAGAGUUGGAAGAGAUCUCUAGCCCAACUCCCUGCAAGAGCAUGUUCCCUAGAAGCAGGUUACACAGCAAAGUUUCCAGGUGGGUUUUGAAUAUCUCCACAGGAGGAGAUUGUGCAGCCUUUCUGGGCAGCCUGCUCCUGUGGUCUGUCACCGUCACAGUAAAGUUCUUCCUUGUAUUUGUAUUGAACUUCCUGUGUUCCUGUUUGUGCCCAUUGCCCCUCAUUCUGUCACUGGGAACUGUUGAAAAGAACUUGUCCCCACCUACUUAACACCCACUCUCUAGAUUUAUAAGCAUUGAUAACAUCCCCUCUCAGCCUUCUCUUCGCUAGGCCUGAACAGUUCCAGAUAUUGAUAUUAGACCUCUUGGGAACACCAAUAGCUAUCGACCUUCAACCAGACUCUGCACUGCUGAUCACAACCCUCUGAGAUUUGCCAAUUAUCUGGUUCUCAGUUCGACUCACUGUCCAGUCACCUGUCCCAUGCUUCCUAUGAUUUUUCUCAUCCUAAUGUGGAAAAACAAACAAAUAAGAAUAAAGCAAGAGUUAAGGUUUGGAUUAAGACA
rnacentral:lncRNA from 1 species